rnacentral:sRNA from 1 species
AGAGCAGACUUUUUCUUUGCUCAAAGUCUAAGCAUUGAAGAACUUCUUUUUAGUAGGUAGAUUUUUGUGUUUUUUUGUUUGUUUUUGAGACGGAGUCUCACUCUGCCGCCCAGGCUGUGGUGCAGUGGCACGAUCUCGGCCCACUGCAAGCUCUGCCUCCCGGGUUCACACCAUUCUCCUGCCUCAGCCUCCCGAGUAGCUGGGACUACAGGUGCCAGCCACCACGCCUGGCUAAUUUUUUUGCAUUUUUUAGUAGAGAUGGGGUUUCAUCGUGUUAACCAGGAUGGUCUUGAUCUCCUGACCUCAUGAUCCACCCACCUUGGCCUCCCAGAGUGCUGGGAUUACAGGCAUGAUUUAGUAGGUGGUUUUGAGUAGGGAGUAUACAUUUAAAAUGCUGAAACUCAGUUAAGGAAUAAUCUAAUACUGUAUUCAACUGAAACUCAGUUGAGAAAUUUCUUUCCAAUAAAAAGGAAAAUCAACUGCAGUAAUGAGGGAGAUGAUUUUGCUGAUAAUUACAACAAAUAUUUACUACAGACCUGUUAUGCACCAUGAACUGUGCUAAAUGUUUUAUACAUAUAACUUUAUCUUGUGCUCCAACAACCUAUUACAUGGAAAUUGCUAUUAUUCUCAUUUUCUAGAUUAAUAAAUUGGUUUAGAGGGGUCGUAUAGGUGAAACAACUCACUCAAUAUCACAAGCUGUUAUGUGGUGAAGUUUGCAUGAUCAGUACAGGGUUCUGGUCGUCCCACUCAUUGAGUGGUGCUAGUCAAGAUCUGGAAGCUCUUCUGGUCUUAGUUUCUCUAGCUGUGAAGUGACAAUGAUUAGGUCUAAUCAUAGAACAUGAGAGUACAUGUGAAAAAAUGCCUUUUUAAAGAGUAUGAAAAACUUGAGUUGUAAAAUUUUCUUGUGAAUAAUUUAUUAUUGCUUUUCUUUUUUAGAUAACACUAACAAAGUUGACCUUAGAAUUGGAGUGCCUGGGUUAGAACCCUGCUGGUACCACCUGCUUACUGCAUGCUUCUGAUGUGAGUUCAGGAGAAGACACUGGCAAGGACAGCAAAGAACAGGAGAACACUCUAGCUUCCCUGAUAGCAUUCAAGGUGCUGUCCAAACUGACUGUGAUGGCACCCUCCAGACAGACAGCGAUGCCACAUGUUCAAGAUGGCAGAAUCACUAUCAGCUUCAAUUCCUGAAUGACUGCAGAGCAAAAUUUCUUACCCGCAACAUACACUCUAUUUUCAGCCUCCCUGGACUGUUACAUAAUGAUACAUAAAAAUAUUUCUUGUGUUGAGGCAUCCCAAAUUUGAUCUAUUUGUCAUCACAGUCUAUCCUCUGAAUAUAUUUCUGAUCCAAAUAAUGCUAGAUUCAUGCGAGUUUAUAGUCCAGAGAUUUUUUUUUUUUUUUUUUUUUGAGACAGAAUCUCACUGUCUCCCAGGCCGGGGUGCAGUGGCAUAAUCUUAGCUCACUGCAACCUCCACCUCCUGGGCUCAAGUGAUCCUCCCUCCUUAGCCUCCAUGAGUAGCUGGGACCACAGGUGUGCACCACCACACCCCGCUAAUUAUUUUGUAUUUUUUGCAGAGGGGGGUUUCACCACAUUGCCCAAGCUGGUCUCAAACUCCUAGACUUAAGGGAUCUGCCCGCCUUGGCCUCCCAAAAUGCUGAAAUUACACUUGUUAGCCAUAGUAAUAGUUCCUAGCCACAGUCCGGAGAUAUUUUAAAAACUUUAGUGUGAGUUAUUUCUCUUUGCUGUAAUUCUCUCAUGCAUUUUGAAAACCUUUUCUGCCAUACAGUGGUUUUUGGGAAGUCCUUUUGGACAGACAUAUCACAGGAUGGAGAAACUAAAGA